CCUACGGGUGGCAGCAGUGGGGAAUAUUGCACAAUGGGCGAAAGCCUGAUGCAGCAACGCCGCGUGAGUGAAGAAGGAUUUCGGCUCGUAAAGCUCUAUCAUCAGGGAAGAAAAAGACGGUACCUGACUAAGAAGCCCCGGCUAAUUACGUGCCAGCAGCCGCGGUAAUACGUAGGGGGCAAGCGUUCUCCGGAUUUACUGGGUGUAAAGGGAGCGGAGGCGGCUGCGCAAGUCUGAAGUGAAAGCCCAUGGCUUAACCGGGGAAGGUCAUUGGAAACUGGGCGGCUAGAGUGCAGGAGAGGUAAGCGGAAUUCCUAGUGUAGCGGUGAAAUGCGUAGAUAUAAGGAGGAACACCAGUGGCGAAGGCGGCUUUCUGGACUGUAACUGACGUUGAGGCUCGAAAGCGUGGGGAGCAAACAGGAUUAGAUACCCGAGUAGUC
rnacentral:rRNA from 1 species